CCCGCUGAACUUAAGCAUAUCAGUAAGCGGAGGAAAAGAAACUAACAAGGAUUCCCCUAGUAACGGCGAGUGAAGCGGGAAAAGCUCAAAUUUGAAAUCUGUAUCACUACAGAAUUGUAUUUGAGAGGGUGUGUGAAAGUGUGAGUGAGAGUUGGAAAGUCCUUUGGAAAGAGGCACCAUAGAGGGUGAUAGUCCCGUAAACCAACCUUUCACUUUCUCCAUCUCACACACCCCAAGAGUCGGAUUGUUUGGGAAUGCAGUCCUAAAUGGGUGAUACGUGUCAUCUAAAGCUAAAUAAUGGCAAGAGACCGAUAGCAAACAAGUACCGUGAGGGAAAGAUGAAAAGGACUUUUAACAGAGAGUCAAAAGUACGUGAAAUUGUGGAGAGGGAAGCGAUUGUUUUUUCUAGUGUGUGAGCCAGUAAAGAAAUGGGAGAUUGGUGAGUGGAAGAUGGCAAUAUACCUUGUGUGUAUUGCUUUAUAGACACACACUAGUACUAUUCCUUUGCUUGAUCACAUUUUGAGAAGAAAUCAUCGACCCGUCUUGAAACACGG
rnacentral:rRNA from 1 species